rnacentral:rRNA from 1 species
GAUGAACGCUGGCGGCGUGCCUAAUACAUGCAAGUCGAGCGAACAGAUGAGGAGCUUGCUCCUCUGACGUUAGCGGCGGACGGGUGAGUAACACGUGGAUAACCUACCUAUAAGACUGGGAUAACUUCGGGAAACCGGAGCUAAUACCGGAUAAUAUAUUGAACCGCAUGGUUCAAUAGUGAAAGACGGUUUUGCUGUCACUUAUAGAUGGAUCCGCGCCGCAUUAGCUAGUUGGUAAGGUAACGGCUUACCAAGGCAACGAUGCGUAGCCGACCUGAGAGGGUGAUCGGCCACACUGGAACUGAGACACGGUCCAGACUCCUACGGGAGGCAGCAGUAGGGAAUCUUCCGCAAUGGGCGAAAGCCUGACGGAGCAACGCCGCGUGAGUGAUGAAGGUCUUCGGAUCGUAAAACUCUGUUAUUAGGGAAGAACAAAUGUGUAAGUAACUAUGCACGUCUUGACGGUACCUAAUCAGAAAGCCACGGCUAAAUACGUG